rnacentral:pre_miRNA from 1 species
AAAAUACUCCCUCCGUCCCAAAAUUCUUGUCUUAAAUUUGUCCAAAUACGGAUGUAUCAAGUCACAUUUUAGUAUUAAAUACAUCCGUAUCUAGACAAAUUUAAGACAAGAAUUUUGGGACGGAGGGAGUAGUAA